rnacentral:rRNA from 1 species
UACGAAGGGUGCAAGCGUUACUCGGAAUUACUGGGCGUAAAGCGUGCGUAGGUGGUCUGUUAAGUCUGAUGUGAAAGCCCUGGGCUCAACCUGGGAAUUGCAUUGGAUACUGGCAGGCUAGAGUGCGGUAGAGGGUAGUGGAAUUCCCGGUGUAGCAGUGAAAUGCGUAGAGAUCGGGAGGAACACCAGUGGCGAAGGCGGCCGGCUGGGGGUGACCUGACGCUGAGGCGCGAAAGCGUGGGGAGCGAACCGG